rnacentral:rRNA from 1 species
UACAGAGGUCCCGAGCGUUGUUCGGAUUCACUGGGCGUAAAGGGUGCGUAGGUGGUGAGGUAAGUCGGAUGUGAAAUCUCCAAGCUCAACUUGGAAAUGGCAUUGGAAACUACCUUGCUGGAGGUUUGGAGGGGGGACUGGAAUUCUCGGUGUAGCAGUGAAAUGCGUAGAUAUCGAGAGGAACACCAGUGGCGAAGGCGAGUCCCUGGACAACACCUGACACUGAGGCACGAAAGCUAGGGGAGCAAACAGG